GACGAACGCUGGCGGCGUGCUUAACACAUGCAAGUCGAACGGAAAGGCCCUGCUUUUGUGGGGUGCUCGAGUGGCGAACGGGUGAGUAACACGUGAGUAACCUGCCCUUGACCUUGGGAUAACUUCAGGAAACUGGGGCUAAUACCGGAUAGGAGCUCCUGCUGCAUGGUGGGGGUUGGAAAGUUUCGGCGGUUGGGGAUGGACUCGCGGCUUAUCAGCUUGUUGGUGGGGUAGUGGCUUACCAAGGCUUUGACGGGUAGCCGGCCUGAGAGGGUGACCGGCCACAUUGGGACUGAGAUACGGCCCAGACUCCUACGGGAGGCAGCAGUGGGGAAUAUUGUACAAUGGGCGGAAGCCUGAUGCAGCAACGCCGCGUGCGGGAUGACGGCCUUCGGGUUGUAAACCGCUUUCGCCUGUGACGAAGCGUGAGUGACGGUAAUGGGUAAAGAAGCACCGGCUAACUACGUG
rnacentral:rRNA from 1 species